rnacentral:lncRNA from 1 species
CUUCUUUUAGAGAAGAACAAAACUAAUAGCCAGAGCCAACAAGAAAUUUGGCAAUAGUUUUCCGAUUGUGCAACCAGGCAGGUUCUUUCAUUUUCACUUCAUGUACACUGUAUAAAGACUUGGCUGGGUUACCACUAUCACUUUCUACCUCUUUUAGUUUGGUGGUGUAUAAUUCAGGAACUGAUUUCUGCUCAGCUAAACUUCUUAAAAAUUUUGCUUUGUUUGUCCUGAACUUUUAAGGACAUAAAAGAGCCAAGCAGGAGACCGGCGAGUGCCAACUUCAAGAUGCCUUCUAUCGCAAGACUGCUUGGGAAGCAAAUUAUACUCGGAGUUAUACCUCUCAUCCUAAGUAGUCUUUGGUCUUUUAUUUUCAGGACUGGAACUAAACAUGGUGAAACAGGUCUUGCCUCUGACUCAAAUAGAGCCCAGAAGACACAUGGACGCCAUGCAAAGAAAAAUUAAGAAAAAUCCACUCUGUAAUUAAGCAAAUCUAAGGAUUCUAGAAGCACCUCUCGCUGAAACCCAAAGAAGUCCUCCUCCUUCUGGGCUUUCACAACCCAGUAUCUUCCUUCCCUUACAAAUGAGGAAAUCACUUACCAGUUGCUUGCACCUUGAAUCUUGUGAUUUGAUUCAAUUUGCUAAAUCAUAGUUGAUUAAAUAAACAGAAAUUUAAUAGGGAUUUUAACCA